rnacentral:rRNA from 1 species
CCUACGGGAGGCAGCAGUGAGGAAUAUUGGUCAAUGGGCGCGAGCCUGAACCAGCCAAGUCGCGUGAGGGAAGACGGCCCUACGGGUUGUAAACCUCUUUUGCCGGGGAGCAACGGGCGCCACGUGUGGCGCCACUGAGAGUACCCGGAGAAAAAGCAUCGGCUAACUCCGUGCCAGCAGCCGCGGUAAUACGGAGGAUGCGAGCGUUAUCCGGAUUUAUUGGGUUUAAAGGGUGCGUAGGCGGAGCGUUAAGUCAGUGGUAAAAUUGAGGGGCUCAACCCCUUCCCGCCAUUGAAACUGGCGCUCUUGAGUGCAGUUGAGGUAGGCGGAAUUCGUGGUGUAGCGGUGAAAUGCUUAGAUAUCACGAAGAACUCCGAUUGCGAAGGCAGCUUACUAAACUGCCACUGACAUUGAUGCUCGAAAGUGUGGGUAUCAAACAGGAUUAGAUACCCCGGUAGUC